rnacentral:lncRNA from 1 species
CCAGGGUCUGGAGCUCGGAGCUUCUUCUCUCUCAGCCUCCCCUCGGUGUGGCUUGUUCAUGUUGAUGUUUUACAAGUGCACAGAAUCUCCUUCAGUGUUGUUGUUCAGAUGGAAGACGUCUGGAUGGACAUAGAAGACCUGCUCUCAGUUAUAAUUGACAAGACGACUAUAACUGUCACAAAACAACACUGCCCAGGUCAGUAUUGACCAAAACCUAAAGUCCUGGGAUGUGUUAAGUACUUUCUGUUUUCUUCUUUCUUCUUCUUCUUUUUUUCUUUUUAGAUGCCCAUUUUUUUUCCUCGUGGCCUCUGGUCUGCACCUCAUUGGAACAACCCCACCGGUUUUUUUCUCCAGAAGGGCAUCCGGUACUGGAGAUGUCAAACUGGAAGGAGUCGUAGCUCCUGAAAGGAUGUUCUGGCAGCUGCAUUUCUCCCUCCAUCUGUUUGGCUUCCUGUUGGUCUGGUCAGGUGCUUUGACAUUCAGGUGA